UACGUAGGGUGCGAGCGUUGUCCGGAAUUAUUGGGCGUAAAGAGCUCGUAGGCGGUCUGUCGCGUCGGCUGUGAAAACUCGGGGCUCAACCCCGAGCCUGCAGUCGAUACGGGCAGACUAGAGUGCUGUAGGGGAGACUGGAAUUCCUGGUGUAGCGGUGAAAUGCGCAGAUAUCAGGAGGAACACCAGCGGCGAAGGCGCUGCCUCUGGGCCGGUACUGACGCUGAGGAGCGAAAGCGUGGGAGCGAAC
rnacentral:rRNA from 1 species